CAUGAAGUAUGUACGUGACUCCCGGUUUCUGAGAAGACAUUUUUCUCUCUCUCUCUAUCCUAUAGUGCCAGGCAAAGCACCCCGAAGCCUCUUGAUCCUAAACACAGAAAACUCUAGUGCCCAAAUGUUUGCCCUAUCCCAGCGCUAAAGCCUUAGAAGCACCAACGAAUCUAGGCCAAGGAGAGUACAAGAUGGCAGGGAGAUACCACAAAGCAGGCAAGGAGGACUGGGUGCCACCAACCCCCCCCCACACACACACACACAUCGGGAAGCACGCGCCACCAGCUCUGCAGAGAGCCGUCUGAGAAGGAGACGUGGGGGAAGUUUGGGUCAGAGGAGCAGGAAGGGAUUGGCAGGUGUCUGUCACCUUAUCAUCCCGGACACCAUGUUUACAUUGUAAUUGGCUUCUCUGCAGAGAGGGAGGGACCAGGUUCCCAGUGUGAGUAAUGUUUAGAGGUUUUCUGAGAAGCACGAGGACUGGACUCUGACAGGAAGCAACGAGGCAAGAGGGAAGCUCGAGGACAAGUUUUGCUGAGGAUUCCCUCAAGACAAGUGCUCCCCGGGCGGCCGUUCCUGACACCAAGACUGGCGGAGCCACCACACCCGUUAAGGGCAUCCACCUGCACAGCAAUCAAGCGGGCGCCUCUGGAGGGGAAGUGGAAGUGGAAGCAGACGUGGGUGGGAAAAGGCUGCAUAGGGGGUCUGACCCAGAAGGAAACCUGAUCAGGAGUGGGAGAGGCUGAACUGAGGAAGGGGCUGGCAGAGGGGGUAGAUGGGUAGGAUGAGACUUCUUUAGAGGCGAGGCUAGUAACUACAUUAAACUGCUGGGAAGGAAGGGCUUUCGUCGGACUCCGGGAGAAAGGCAGAUCUGGAGAGGAAAACCUGACUUGGGGGGCUGCGCGUCCGGCUCUGGAAGGCAACUACAACUGGGGGCGGCGCGCUGCCGGCCCAGCGAGCGAGCCUCGUGCGGCCCGGGGGUGCGGCCGGCCCGCGCGAGCUCAACGAGAGCUCACCUGGGGUGCGUGCGGCCCGAAGGGAAAAAACUUCCUGGGCUGGAAUACAGUGGCAUCAUCUCAGCUCACUGAAGACUCGAUCUCCUGGGCUCAAGUAAUCCUCUAACCUCAAAGUAGCUGGGACUAUGAGCAUGCACCACCAUGCCCAGGGACAGGGUUUUGCCAUGCUGCCCAGGCUGGUCUUGAACUCCUCAGCUCAGGAGAUCCACCCACCUCAGCCUUCCAGAGUGCUGGGAUUACAGGCGUGAGACACUGUGCCCAGCCUUCCCACAGUCUUAAGAUUUCUGGGAUAGUGUUUAUUUACAUACAAAGUUUCAGUAUGUGUAGGGUGAAUAGAAGUGUGUGUGUGUGUGUGUGUGUGUGUGUAGUUUGUUCAUAAAUAAAAUUGGUUCCAAUUCAUCAAACAUUUAUUGAAUGCCUACUGCAUUGCUAACCAUGGUGCUGUAACAGGCAAUCUACACACAUUAUUUAUAUUCCUCACAGCAAUGUAUGAGGUAUGUUACUUGUUCUACUUUCUAGAUGAGGGAUCUGAGGUUCGGACUUCCUUAUACAUUUCUUGUUGGUCGCCCCAAACUGAAAGUAAGUCCCAUGAAGGUAGAAGCUUCUCUAUUUUAUUUCUCUGCUGUAUCCCCAGUGUCUAUAACAGUGCUUUGAACAGGUACUCAAGAACUUGUAAAGUGAAUAUAAGACUUAAUAAUAAUAGCUACCAUGUAUUGAGCACUUAUUUUAUACCAGAAACUUAUAAGAUAGAGGUUAUCAUUAUUCUCCACUUGAUGAAGAGAGGUGAAAUAACUUGCCUAAAUUCAUAAAACUACUAAAUAAUGGAGCCUGGAUUUGAACUCAAGCAGUCUAGCUCUAAAAUUCAAACCCUUAAUCAAUAUGAAAAAGUGCCUUCACAAAACAACUUUAAAUAUAGUACUAAAGUAAAACAAAACAAAAUCAGACUAAGAAGUAUUAGAAGGUCUAAUAAUUUUUCCCAGAAUGACCACUUCAAUUUUUUUUUAGACGAUAUCUCAUGCCAUCACCCAGGCUGGAAUCCAGUGGCCUGAUCUUGGCUCACUGCAACCUCCACCUCCCAGGUUCAAGUGAUUCUCCUGGCUCAGCCUCCUGAGUAGCUGGCAUUAUAGGCACAGGACACCACGCCUGGCUAAUUUUUAUAUUUUUAGUAGAGACAGGGUUUCACCAUGUUGGCCGGGCUGGUCUCGAAUUUCUAACCUCAAAUGAUCUACCCACUUCAGCCUCUCAAAGUGCUGGUAUUACAGGCUGAGCCACCACACCUGGCCCUUGAAUUUUGUUUUUUUAAAGGAAAUAUUAAGUCUCAAAGUUCUUUAAAAAAAAACAACUCUUUUUUUUGGCCUGUGUUUUUGCAGGUGCUCCAAGCAUAAGCUUAAUCUGCCUAUUGGAUAAUCAAGUACUGACCACAAACUGGUUUUGAAUGGACCUUCCUGCAGAACCAGGACAUCUGGAUAGAGCUUGUCACUGUCAUGAGGCCAUUGUCCCAAGUAUCACUCCACCCAUAAAAUAGUUCUAGAAGGGCAGGGAAGCUGGUAAACAGCAUGCAUCACCUUCCUUCUUUCUCAUAGUCAUCCAUCAGAAAAUAGGCUUACGCCUGUAAUUUCAAGAUUUUGGGAGGCCGAGGCAGGAGGAUUGCUUGAGCCCAGGAGCUCAAGACCAGCCUGAACAACACAGCAAGAACCCAUCUCUACAAAAACAUUCAAAAAACAAUUAACCUGGCAUGGUGGCAUGCACCUGUAGUCCCAGCUACUUGGGAGGGUGAGGCAGGAGGAUCACUUGAGCCUGGGGGGUUGAGUCUGUAGUGAGCUGUAUUCUUAUCCCCACACUUCAGCCUGGGCCACAGAGCAAGACCCUGUCUCAACAACAAAAAACAAAACAAAGAAAACAAAAAAAAAAAGAAAAAGAAAAUGAGCUCAGUAGCUCCCUUCUAGAUCAGUGCACUAGAGUGCACUAGAGCAGGCAGUCUGACACACAAAAGGAGCAUGGGAGGCCAGGAGUUUGAAAACAGUCUGGACAACAUAGCAGGAUCCCAUGUUUAAAAAAUUUUGUUUUUAAGUUAGCUGGGUGUGGUGGCACACUUCUGCACUUCUGUAGUCCUAGCUACUCGAGAGGCUACGGUGGGAGAAUUGCUUGAGCCGAGUUUGAAGCAGCAGUGAACCAUGAUCAAUGCCACUGCACUCUGUGCAGACAGAGCAAGACUCUGUCUCUUACAGAUAUAGAUAUAAAUGUAGAUACAUAUACAUAUACAUAUACACAGAGAGAAAAAGAGAGAAGGAGAGAAACUGCAGGGAAAAAUAGAUGCAUAAUUGUAGCUCAAGACUUGAAUAGCCUCCUCUCAGAAAUUGAUGCAUCAAGGCUUGGAUAGUAUAAUUACCAUAUUUCAACAAUUCUACAUCCUAUAUAAGAGUAGACUUUAGCAUGUUAAAAAUAUAAUAAACAUGAAAAGUUAAAUUGUAAAGAAAAAUAUAGGAGACUCAUAGUUUGUGACUCAAAAGGGAAGGCAAAACUUCAACAAGUCAAAGGCUGCAGAUGACUCUGGGUACUUUAUACUCUGAAUCUCAGUUCCUACAUCUGAAAAAUAGCAGUAAUAAUAUCUGUCUUCCUGGGUUUUUUUAGGGCUAAGUGGGAUAACUUUUGGAAAGCGCUGACAGAGCCACAGGUGCAAAGUUAUAGAUGUCCAGUGAACAUGAGUUCUUUCUCCCACCUCUCAGGGCCAAGUGACCAGAAAUGAGACAAAGACUAUGUGCCUGAUUUUUGAAAUGCAAAGAACAGUAAACAACUGAGGAGUCAGACAUUUGGAAUCCAGAGUGGGGGAAUAUCUUACUUUUCUUAUUCCCCAGGUCUUAUUUCCAACUUCUUCAGCAAACUCUUCAUCAUUUGUAAGAAGGAAAUUGUCAAAGAUGCUGCCUGAUUUUACCUAUUGAAGUGAAAACAGUGGGAUUAUUAAAAUUAGGUGUCUACAUAUACACCAUGGAAUACUAUGCAGCCAUCAAAAAAAGGAUGAAUUCAUCUCCUUUCCAGGAACAUGGAUGAAGCUAGAAACCAUCAUUCUCAGCAAACUAACACAAGAACAGAAAACCAAACACCACACGUUCUCACUCAUAGGUAGGAGUUGAACAAUGAGAACACAUGGAUACAGGGAGGGGAACAUUACACACCCGGGCCUGUUGGGGGUGGGGGAGUAGGUGAGGGAUAGCAUUAGGAGAAAUACCUACUGUAGAUGAUGGGGUGAUGGAUGCAGGAAACCACCAUGGCGCGUGUA